AUUGAACGCUGGCGGCAGGCCUAACACAUGCAAGUCGAGCGAGCGGCGGACGGGUGAGUCAUGCCUGAGCAUUGCCCAGUCUAGGGGGAUAACAGUUGGCAACGACUGCUACUACCGCAUACGAUUCGUUUGCCCAGGUGGGGUUAGAUUGUUGGUGAGGUAAUGGCUCACCAAGGCGACGAUGCCUAGCUGGUCUGAGAGGAUGAUCAGCCACACUGGAACUGAGACACGGUCCAGACUCCUACGGGAGGCAGCAGUGGGGAAUAUUGCACAAUGGGGGAAAGCCUGAUGGAGCCAUGCCGCGUGUGUGAAGAAGGCCUUCGGGUUGUAAAGCACUUUCAGCGAGGAGGCGUUACUCGCAGAAGAAGCACCGGCUAACUACGUGCCAGCAGCCGCGGUAAUUC
rnacentral:rRNA from 1 species